CACCACCUUAAUCCAUCUCAAGGCUGAAGAACAGACCUCGGCUCAGUAACACACAGGUUACAAGCUUGAGCACCUGCCUUAAGCCUCAUAGCACACAACACCUGUUGUCUGUUAUUAUCUGGGAGCAGGAUCCUUACUCAGUGACGCCUGGUUAUACCCGCCCUGCAGCUGAGGACACAGAGGCCCAAGGACCGGAGCUAGCUUGUCAGGACGGCAGAGUCAAGAAGUCAGGGCGCUGGGGUCAGAGCCCCUUAUCCAUGUAACCGUCCACAAUGGGGGUCUCUCAGGGCUCCGGCCCCCUCUGCUCCUCCCCACUCCAUCUUUCCCCCACUCCGUCUUUCCCCUACUCCAUCUCUCCCCAACUUGUGCUGCUAUCCCCUACCAGAGGCGAACAGCACCAACUCCCAGGCCACAAGGAUCUCAGUCAGAGCCCUAUGGACCAUAGUGCCACCUGGGAAGCUAGGCUGGAGCACAGGAAGGCAGCAGCUACUGGGUCUAGUGAUGGAGGUAAGGGGCACUGCCCAAGCCCACAGGAUGCCUAGGAUGGCCCCGCAGAGGGGUGUCGGGUCACAUGACAGUGGCGAGGGGUGCAGAGUAGCCCCGUCCCAGACGCGCAGGCUCGCCCUCCCACGUCUGCGCUGGCGGCUUCCUGUUGUCUGCCUGCACCUGUGGCCCACUCCAGUCUCAGCCAGAGGUGGGCACCCACAGCUUGCAGAUGCAGGUGGAGAGUUCUCAGCAGAUUCUAGACUAAAGCGCUUCCAGAUGUGAAGGGAUGCCCUGCAGGCACACGCGUAUCCACAUGGAGGGCCUCCCUGACAGAGCUGCUCCUUGACCCAACUCUGCUCUGGCUCCUUGAACUCUUUUUCUUCUCUUAGGCCUCAACUUCUGGGCUUCUGUAUUCAUUUUGGCAUUGUUCAGUCAGGAAAGCCCAGGCGGCUCUAGUGGUAAAGAAUCGGCCUGCCGAUGCAGGAGUCACAAGAGAUGCAGGUUCGAUCCAAUGCAGGAGUAGCAACAGAUGCAGGUUCGAUCCCUGAGUUGGGAAGAUGCCCUGGAGAAGGGCAUGGCAACCCACUGCAGUAUUCUUGUCUGGAGAAUCCCAUGGACAGAGGAGCCUGGUGGGCUACAGUCCAUGGGGUUGCAGAGUCGGACAUGACUGAAGAGACUGAGCACGCAUGUACUGCUGAGUCAGUUCAGCCAGGAUUCCUCAUCUUGAUGUCUGAUGGGGCUCCUCACUCCCGUUGCUAGGUGACACCAUCCUGCCUGCCUUCAGCCAGAUCCUUCUGGUGGUGGGUUAAGCUAGAAUCUCCGCUACUCCUGAUGUUUCUUCUUAGUAAUUGCCCAUCCACUGACCUCCACCUUGCACCUUGGCUACAAAUUCCCACUUUCUAGGUUCUUCUAUUUUGAGUUGAAUCCAAUCUGUCUCCUCCAUGGCAAGACUUCAUCAGAGCAGUUUCCAGCCUUCUGUCUCUUGGUUAUCGUGGACUCAGGGCAUUGCCGGGGAGGCCUCAGCACAUUGACCCAGAAGCCUGCUUAUCAGUCCCCAGGAUGCAAGACUCUCAUAAGUUCCUUUGUUGGAAAGAAGUUUGAUGGCAACUGCUUCCCAGCCAGGCUCACAACCUUCAACUUCUCUCUACAAGGGCUCUUGGGAGUCAGCGGUCCCUCCAGACCUGGUCCAAUAACCCCAUUGAAUAAAUGGUCUGCCUGGCUGUGUUUUAACA
ensembl:lncRNA